UGUUACCUUGUUACGACUUAACCCCAAUCACCGACCCCACCUUAGNCGGCUGCCUCCCUUGCGGGUUAGCUCCACCGGCUUCGGGUGUUGCCGACUUUCGUGGUUUGACGGGCGGUGUGUACAAUCCCCGAGAACGUAUUCACCGCAGCAUAGCUGAUCUGCGAUUACUAGCAAUUCCGGCUUCAUGCAGGCGAGUUUCAGCCUGCAAUCCGAACUGAGACCUGCUUUGUGAGAUUCGCUCCAGNUCACUCUUUCGCUUCCCUCUGUACAGGCCAUUGUAGCGCGUGUGUAGCCCAGGCCAUAAGGGCCAUGAGGAUUUGACCUCAUCCCCACCUUCCUCCGAAUUGUCUCCGGCAGUCUCCUGUGAGUGCCCGACUCUACUCGCUGGCAACACNNNACGGGGGUUGCGCUCGUUGCGGGACCUAACCCAACAUCUCACGACACGAGCUGACGACAACCAUGCAACACCUGUCACCCUGGCCGCAAGCGGCAAACCU
rnacentral:rRNA from 1 species